CGAAUGCUGACAUAAGUAACGAUAAAGCGGGUGAAAAGCCCGCUCGCCGGAAGACCAAGGGUUCCUGUCCAACGUUAAUCGGGGCAGGGUGAGUCGACCCCUAAGGCGAGGCCGAAAGGCGUAGUCGAUGGGAAACAGGUUAAUAUUCCUGUACUUGGUGUUACUGCGAAGGGGGGACGGAGAAGGCUAUGUUGGCCGGGCGACGGUUGUCCCGGUUUAAGCGUGUAGGCUGGUUUUCCAGGCAAAUCCGGAAAAUCAAGGCUGAGGCGUGAUGACGAGGCACUACGGUGCUGAAGCAACAAAUGCCCUGCUUCCAGGAAAAGCCUCUAAGCAUCAGGUAACAUCAAAUCGUACCCCAAACCGACACAGGUGGUCAGGUAGAGAAUACCAAGGCGCUUGAGAGAACUCGGGUGAAGGAACUAGGCAAAAUGGUGCCGUAACUUCGGGAGAAGGCACGCUGAUAUGUAGGUGAAGUCCCUCGCGGAUGGAGCUGAAAUCAGUCGAAGAUACCAGCUGGCUGCAACUGUUUAUUAAAAACACAGCACUGUGCAAACACGAAAGUGGACGUAUACGGUGUGACGCCUGCCCGGUGCCGGAAGGUUAAUUGAUGGGGUCAGCGCAAGCGAAGCUCUUGAUCGAAGCCCCGGUAAACGGCGGCCGUAACUAUAACGGUCCUAAGGUAGCGAAAUUCCUUGUCGGGUAAGUUCCGACCUGCACGAAUGGCGUAAUGAUGGCCAGGCUGUCUCCACCCGAGACUCAGUGAAAUUGAACUCGCUGUGAAGAUGCAGUGUACCCGCGGCAAGACGGAAAGACCCCGUGAACCUUUACUAUAGCUUGACACUGAACAUUGAGCCUUGAUGUGUAGGAUAGGUGGGAGGCUUUGAAGUGUGGACGCCAGUCUGCAUGGAGCCGACCUUGAAAUACCACCCUUUAAUGUUUGAUGUUCUAACGUGGACCCGUGAUCCGGGUUGCGGACAGUGUCUGGUGGGUAGUUUGACUGGGGCGGUCUCCUCCUAAAGAGUAACGGAGGAGCACGAAGGUUGGCUAAUCCUGGUCGGACAUCAGGAGGUUAGUGCAAUGGCAUAAGCCAGCUUGACUGCGAGCGUGACGGCGCGAGCAGGUGCGAAAGCAGGUCAUAGUGAUCCGGUGGUUCUGAAUGGAAGGGCCAUCGCUCAACGGAUAAAAGGUACUCCGGGGAUAACAGGCUGAUACCGCCCAAGAGUUCAUAUCGACGGCGGUGUUUGGCACCUCGAUGUCGGCUCAUCACAUCCUGGGGCUGAAGUAGGUCCCAAGGGUAUGGCUGUUCGCCAUUUAAAGUGGUACGCGAGCUGGGUUUAGAACGUCGUGAGACAGU
rnacentral:rRNA from 1 species